GGUGUGGUGGUCAGUGAAUGGCACGGACUUUAAAGGGUGUGGAGUGGUCACUGAAUGGUGGUGAGUGGUCAUUAAAGGUGUUCAGUGGUCAUUAAAGAGGGUUUGGUGGUCAGCGGAUGGUGUGGAUUGGUCAAUAAAGGAAGUGAGGUGGUCAGUGGAUGGGUUUGGUGGUCAUUAAAGGCUGUCCAGUGGUCAGUGGAUGGGUUUGGUGGUCAGUGGAUGGUGUGAAAUGGUCAAAAAGGGGAGGGGAGUGGUCAUUAAGGAGAAGGGAGUGGUCAGUGGCCUGGGUUUGGUGGGCAGUGAGUGGCGUGGGGUGGUCAAUAAAGGGUGUCCAGUGGUCAGUGGAUGGGUUUGGUGGUCAGUGCAUGGUGUGAAAUGGUCAGUAAGGGGAGAGGAGUGGUCAAUAACAAAUGUCCAGUGGUCAGUGGAUGGCGUGGAGUGGUCAGUGCCUGGCGUGGGGGUCACUCAGCAGUCCCAGUGGUCAGUGUUGGUCAGUGGUCAGUGCCUGCUGUGGGGUCAGUGCCUGGCGUGGGGGUCACUCAGCAGUCCCAGUGGUCAGUGUUGGUCAGUGGUCAGUGCCUGCUGUGGCCCCAGCGCUCACUCAGAGCCGUUCCCGCUCAAUAAAUUCCCAUUUUUCCCUUUCCCCCCUCAAUUCCACCCCUGGCCGGGCUCCAGAAGGGAUUUUACUGCAAAACCUCAGAAUUUACUUUUACUGCAAAACUUCAGAAUUUACAAACUCCAGAAAGGAUUUUACUGCAAAACCUCCGAAUUUACUUUUACUGCAAAACCUCCAAAUUUACAAACUCCAGAGCGGAUUUUACUGCAAAACCCCAGAAUUUACAAACUCCAGAAUUUACUUUUACUGCAAAACUUGAGAAUUUACUUUUACUGCAAAACCCCAGAAUUUACAAAUCCAGAAGGGAUUUUACUGCAAACC
rnacentral:lncRNA from 1 species